AGAGUUUGAUUCUAGCUCAGGAUGAACGCUGGCGGCGUGGAUAAGGCAUGCAAGUCAAACGGUCGUGCCUCACUAUCGUUCAGCACUCCCUAAAUUAAAAGUUCAAAAAUCAAAAUGCAAAAUUACAAUUUAAAAUUAAAAAUUUUGAAUUUUGCAUUGUAAUUUUGAUUUUUAAAUUUUGAUUUUUGAUUUUGAGUGCCGAGCAGUAGCGAGGCACGAUAGUGGCAAACGGGUUAGUAACGCGUAGGUAACUUACCCUGAAGUCUUGGAUAACUCCGCGAAAGCGGAGCUAAUACAAGAUGGAAAUGAGGGGACAUAUGUCAUUCUCAUUUAAAGAUGCGUAGUAAUACGCGAUGCUUCAGGAGAGGCCUGCGUCCUAUCAGCUAGUUGGUGAGGUAACGGCCCACCAAGGCGAUGACGGGUAGGGGGACUGAGAGGUCGGCCCCCAACAUCGGAACUGAGACACUGUCCGGACUCCUACGGGAGGCUGCAGUCAAGAACCUUCGACAAUGGGCGAAAGCCUGAUCGAGCGACGCCGCGUGAAUGAAGAAGCCCUUCGGGGUGUAAAAUUCUUUUAUAGGGGAGCAAUUUUGAGUGUACCCUAUGAAUAAGGGGUUCCUAAACUCGUGCCAGCAGGAGCGGUAAUACGAGUACCCCAAGCGUUAUCCGGAAUUACUGGGCGUAAAGCGUCUGUAGGGGGUUUUGAUAGUCCUUAUGUUAAAUGUUAAGGCUCAACCUUAACGCUGCUUGGGAAACGUCAAAACUAGAGAGUGCGAGAGGCUGAUGGAACCUACGGUGUAGGGGUGAAAUCCGUUGAUAUCGUAGGGAACACCAAAAGCGAAGGCAUUCAGCUGGUGCAUCUCUGACCCUGAGAGACGAAAGCGUGGGGAGCAAAAAGGAUUAGUGUCAUUGCUUCGCAAUGGAAUUUCUAAAUCUUAAUUUCUAAUUUCUAAAUAAAUCUCAAAUUUGUUUAGGAUUUAGGGUUUUGAAUUUAAGAUUUCCACUGCGAAGUGAUGGCCCGCCAGGGUAUGGCGGAAAUAGUCCCUCGUCGAUGAGACGAGAAAAAACUUGGCUAUAUGCUGGAAAAUCCGUAGCGAGUGUCGUAAGACACGAGCGAAGCCCAGCACCGAAUUUAUUCUGGUGCUGUGGCGGAAAGUAUCCGGCACUACCACUUUAAAGAAAGGAGGUAAAAAUGAUAGCAAGAAUGAUAAGAUUCGAUGGAAAAUCUGUCGCUACCUUUCUUAAUGGCGAGCCAAACUCGCUGAAAAUGAGAGAGAGGCGAGAUAUUUUUUUGGAAGAAGAUCAAUUUCCAAAAGAAAAGAGGGCCGAGAAAGUAUGGAAGUUAGCGGAGAAAUGGCAGCAAGAAGUAAAAGCAGAAGAUUCAGAUGAU
rnacentral:rRNA from 1 species